rnacentral:lncRNA from 1 species
UUUUUUUUUUUUUGACCAAUUUAUUGGGAUUUUUAGUUUUUUAUUUUAUUUUUUAAUUCAAUUUGGCUAAGAUAAAUGUUAAAAACAUGUAAGAGUUUCUUAAUUUACUUUAAAGCUCUCCAAGGGUUGAGCAGUUUGAUUCGAGUUAAGUUUAGACAAUUAAUUUUUUAUAUUUGAUUCGAUCUGAUUAAUUUAAUUUGAA